rnacentral:rRNA from 1 species
AUUGAACGCUAGCGGGAUGCCUUACACAUGCAAGUCGAACGGCAGCGCGGACUUCGGUCUGGCGGCGAGUGGCGAACGGGUGAGUAAUGUAUCGGAACGUGUCCAGUAGCGGGGGAUAACUACUCGAAAGAGUAGCUAAUACCGCAUACGCCCUACGGGGGAAAGGGGGGGAUCGCAAGACCUCUCACUAUUGGAGCGGCCGAUAUCGGAUUAGCUAGUUGGUGAGGUAAAGGCUCACCAAGGCGACGAUCCGUAGCUGGUUUGAGAGGACGACCAGCCACACUGGGACUGAGACACGGCCCAGACUCCUACGGGAGGCAGCAGUGGGGAAUUUUGGACAAUGGGGGCAACCCUGAUCCAGCCAUUCCGCGUGUGCGAUGAAGGCCUUCGGGUUGUAAAGCACUUUUGGCAGGAAAGAAAUCGCACGGAUUAAUACUCUGUGUGGAUGACGGUACCUGCAGAAUAAGCACCGGCUAACUACGUGCCAGCCGCCGCGGUAA